GAUGAAGAACGCAGCGAAAUGCGAUACGUAAUGUGAAUUGCAGAAUUCAGUGGAUCAUCGAGUCUUUGAACGCACAUUGCGCCCCCUGGUAUUCCGGGGGGCAUGCCUGUCCGAGCGUCAUUGCUGCCCUCAAGCACGGCUUGUGUGUUGGGCCUCCGUCCUCCUCCCGGGGGACGGGCCCGAAAGGCAGCGGCGGCACCGCGUCCGGUCCUCGAGCGUAUGGGGCUUCGUCACCCGCUCUUGUAGGCCCGGCCGGCGCUUGCCGACACAUCAAUCUUUUUUCCAGGUUGACCUCGGAUCAGGUAGGGAUACCCGCUGAACUUAAGCAUAUCAAUAAGCGGAGGA
rnacentral:misc_RNA from 1 species